rnacentral:rRNA from 1 species
GAUGAACGCUGGCGGCGUGCCUAAUACAUGCAAGUCGAGCGAACAGACGAGGAGCUUGCUCCUCUUACGCGAGCGGCGGACGGGUGAGUAACACGUGGAUACCCUACCUAUAGGACUGGGAUAACUUCGGGAACCCUGAGCUCAUACCGGAUAAUAUAUUGAACCGCAUGGUUCUAUAGUGAAAGCGCUUUUUGCUGUCCCUUAUAGAUGGAUCCUGGUCGCAUUAGCUAGUUGGUAAGGUAACGGCUUACCAAGGCAACGAUGCGUAGCCGACCUGAGAGGGUGAUCAGCCACACUGGAACUGAGACACGGUCCAGACUCCUACGGGAGGCAGCAGUAGGGAAUAUUGGACAAUGGGCGAAAGCCUGACGGAGCAACGCCGCGUGUGUGAUGAAGGUCUUCGGAUCGUAAAGCUCUGUUAGUAGGGAAGAACGAAUGUGUAAGAAAACAUGCCCGUCUUGACGGUACCAACAGAGAAAGCAACGGCUAACUACGUG